GACGGAGGGUGCUGGCGUUGUUCGGAAUCACUGGGCGUAAAGGGCGCGUAGGCGGCGCAUGGUGUCGGAUGUGAAAGCCCGGGGCUCAACUCCGGAGGUGCAUCCGAAACUCAUGUGCUCGAGGUCGGAAGAGGAGGGUGGAAUACCCAGUGUAGAGGUGAAAUUCGUAGAUAUUGGGUGGAACACCGGUGGCGAAAGCGGCUCUCUGGUCCGAUUCUGACGCUGAGGCGCGAACGCGUGGGGAGCAAACAGG
rnacentral:rRNA from 1 species